rnacentral:rRNA from 1 species
AUACGUAGGGGGCGAGCGUUGUCCGGAAUGAUUGGGCGUAAAGGGCGCGUAGGCGGCCCGGUAAGUCUGGAGUGAAAGUCCUGCUUUUAAGGUGGGAAUUGCUUUGGAUACUGUCGGGCUUGAGUGCAGGAGAGGUAAGUGGAAUUCCCAGUGUAGCGGUGAAAUGCGUAGAGAUUGGGAGGAACACCAGUGGCGAAGGCGACUUACUGGACUGUAACUGACGCUGAGGCGCGAAAGUUUGGGGAGCAAACAGGAUUAGAUACCCUGGUAGUCCACACUGUAAACGAUGAAUGCUAGGUGUAGGGGGUAUCGACCCCUUCUGUGCCGCAGUUAACACAAUAAGCAUUCCGCCUGGGGAGUACGGCCGCAAGGUUGAAACUCAAAUGAAUUGGCGGGG